UACGUAGGGUCCGAGCGUUGUCCGGAAUUACUGGGCGUAAAGAGCUCGUAGGUGGUUUGUCACGUUGUUCGUGAAAACCCACAGCUCAACUGUGGGCGUGCGAGCGAUACGGGCAGACUAGAGUACUGCAGGGGAGACUGGAAUUCCUGGUGUAGCGGUGGAAUGCGCAGAUAUCAGGAGGAACACCGGUGGCGAAGGCGGGUCUCUGGGCAGGUACUGACGCUGAGACGCGAAAGCGUGGGGAGCAAACAGG
rnacentral:rRNA from 1 species